rnacentral:rRNA from 1 species
CGUGUAGGCGGAUGGGAACGUCGGAAAUUGAAAGCCCCCGGCUCAACCGGGGAAGUGGUUCCGAAACGACCUGUCUGGAGGGACGUAGGGGGAUCUGGAACUUCCGGUGGAGCGGUGAAAUGCGUUGAGAUCGGAAGGAACGCCCGUGGCGAAAGCGAGGUCCUGGACGUCUGCUGACGCUGAGACGCGAAAGCUAGGGGAGCAAACGGGAUUAGAUACCCCGGUAGUCCUAGCCGUAAACGAUGGGCACUGGGUAGGGGGCUCGCCGAUGGGCUCUCUGCCGUAGCGAAAGCGUGAAGUGCCCCGCCUGGGGAGUAUGGUCGCAAGGCUGAA